rnacentral:rRNA from 1 species
GAUGAACGCUGGCGGCGUGCUUAACACAUGCAAGUCGAACGAUGAAGCCCAGCUUGCUGGGUGGAUUAGUGGCGAACGGGUGAGUAACACGUGAGUAACCUGCCCUUAACUCUGGGAUAAGCCUGGGAAACUGGGUCUAAUACCGGAUAGGAGCGUCCACCGCAUGGUGGGUGUUGGAAAGAUUUAUCGGUUUUGGAUGGACUCGCGGCCUAUCAGCUUGUUGGUGAGGUAAUGGCUCACCAAGGCGACGACGGGUAGCCGGCCUGAGAGGGUGACCGGCCACACUGGGACUGAGACACGGCCCAGACUCCUACGGGAGGCAGCAGUGGGGAAUAUUGCACAAUGGGCGCAAGCCUGAUGCAGCGACGCCGCGUGAGGGAUGACGGCCUUCGUGUUGUAAACCUCUUUCAGUAGGGAAGAAGCGAAAGUGACGGUACCUGCAGAAGAAGCACCGGCUAACUACGUG